rnacentral:rRNA from 1 species
CAGUCGCCGCGGGAAUACGAAGGGGGCUAGCGUGGCUCGGAAUUACUGGGCGUAAAGGGCGCGUAGGCGGACAGUUCAGUCGGGGGUGAAAGCCCGGGGCCCAACCUCGGAAUUGCCUUCGAUACUGGCUGUCUUGAGUAUGAGAGAGGUGUGUGGAACUCCGAGUGUAGAGGUGAAAUUCGUAGAUAUUCGGAAGAACACCAGUGGCGAAGGCGACACACUGGCUCAUUACUGACGCUGAGGCGCGAAAGCGUGGGGAGCAAACAGGAUUAGAUACCCGUGUAGUCCCUGUCUCUUAUAC